rnacentral:rRNA from 1 species
UACAGAGGUUUCAAGCGUUGUUCGGAUUCAUUGGGCGUAAAGGGUGCGUAGGCGGCGCGGUAAGUCGGGUGUGAAAUCUCGGGGCUUAACUCCGAAACUGCAUUCGAUACUGCCGUGCUUGAGGACUGGAGAGGAGACUGGAAUUUACGGUGUAGCGGUGAAAUGCGUAGAUAUCGUAAGGAAGACCAGUGGCGAAGGCGGGUCUCUGGACAGUUCCUGACGCUGAGGCACGAAGGCCAGGGGAGCAAACGGG